rnacentral:rRNA from 1 species
UAAAAACCCCGACUUCGGAAGGGGUGUAUUUAUUAGAUACAAAACCAAUGCCCUUCGGGGCUCUUUGGUGAUUCAUGAUAACUAUACGAAUCGCACGGCCUUGCGCCGGCGAUGGUUCAUUCAAAUUUCUUCCCUAUCAACUUUCGAUGUUUGGGUAUUGGCCAAACAUGGUUGCAAUGGGUAACGGAGGGUUAGGGCUCGACCCCGGAGAAGGAGCCUGAGAAACGGCUACUACAUCCAAGGAAGGCAGCAGGCGCGCAAAUUACCCAAUCCCGACUCGGGGAGGUAGUGACAAUAAAUACUGAUACAGGGCCCUUUCGGGCCUUGUAAUUGGAAUGAGUCCAAUUUAAAUCCCUUAACGAGGAACAAUUGGAGGGCAAGUCUGGUGCCAGCAGCCGCGGUAAUUCCAGCUCCAAUAGCGUAUACUAAAGUUGUUGUGGUUAAAAAGCUCGUAGUUGAACCUUGGGCCUGGCUGGCCGGUCCGCCUCACCGCGUGCACUGGUCCGGCCGGGCCUUUCCCUCUGUGGAACCCCAUACCCUUCACUGGGCGUGGCGGGGAAACAGGACAUUUACUUU